rnacentral:rRNA from 1 species
CCUACGGGGUGCAGCAGUGGGGAAUAUUGGACGAUGGGCGAAAGCCUGAUCCAGCCAUGCCGCGUGUGUGAAGAAGGCCUUCGGGUUGUAAAGCACUUUCAGUGGGGAAGAAAGCCUUGGGGCUAAUACCCUCGAGGAAGGACAUCACCCACAGAAGAAGCACCGGCUAACUCCGUGCCAGCAGCCGCGGUAAUACGGAGGGUGCGAGCGUUAAUCGGAAUUACUGGGCGUAAAGCGCGCGUAGGCGGUCUGAUAAGCCGGUUGUGAAAGCCCCGGGCUCAACCUGGGAACGGCAUCCGGAACUGUCAGGCUAGAGUGCAGGAGAGGAAGGUAGAAUUCCCGGUGUAGCGGUGAAAUGCGUAGAGAUCGGGAGGAAUACCAGUGGCGAAGGCGGCCUUCUGGACUGACACUGACGCUGAGGUGCGAAAGCGUGGGUAGCAAACAGGAUUAGAUACCCGAGUAGUC